rnacentral:rRNA from 1 species
GACAGGUGGUGCAUGGUUGUCGUCAGCUCGUGUCGUGAGAUGUUGGGUUAAGUCCCGCAACGAGCGCAACCCUUAUCUUUAGUAGCCAGCAGUUCGGCUGGGCACUCUAGAGAGACUGCCAGGGAUAACCUGGAGGAAGGUGGGGAUGACGUCAAAUCAUCAUGCCCCUUAUGAUCUGGGCUACACACGUGCUACAAUGGUGACAACAAAGUGAAGCAGCCUCGUGAGAGUGAGCAAAUCACAGAAAAGUCAUCUCAGUUCGGAUUGUAGUCUGCAACUCGACUACAUGAAGCUGGAAUCGCUAGUAAUCGCGAAUCAGAAUGUCGCGGUGAAUACGUUCCCGGGUCUUGUACACACCGCCCGUCACACCAUGGGAGUUGGAUAUGCCCGAAGUCAGUGACCCAACCGUAAGGAGGGAGCUGCCGAAGGUGGAGCCGAUGACUGGGGUGAAGUCGUAACAAGGUAGCCGUAUCGGAAGGUGCGGCU